UACGGAGGGUGCUAGCGUUGUUCGGAAUCAUUGGGCGUAAAGGGCGCGUAGGCUGUCCUGCAAGUCAGGUGUGAAAGCCCCCGGCUUAACUGGGGAAUUGCGCUUGAAACUGCAGGACUUGAGUACGGGAGAGGGAAGCGGAAUUCCGAGUGUAGAGGUGAAAUUCGUAGAUAUUCGGAGGAACACCGGUGGCGAAGGCGGCUUCCUGGACCGAUACUGACGCUGAGGCGCGAAAGCGUGGGGAGCAAACAGG
rnacentral:rRNA from 1 species